rnacentral:rRNA from 1 species
GACGAACGCUGGCGGCGCGCUUAACACAUGCAAGUCGAACGGAAAGGCCUGCUUUCCCUUGUGGAUUGCGGGUACUCGAGUGGCGAACGGGUGAGUAACACGUGAGUGAUCUGCCCCCAACUUGGGUAUAAGCCUGGGAAACUGGGUCUAAUUCCCGAUAGGACUGCAGGGUGGUGCCUGUGGUGGAAAACGAUUUUCUAGUGGUUGGGGAUGAGCUCGCGGCCUAUCAGCUUGUUGGUGGGGUAAUGGCCUACCAAGGCGGCGACGGGUAGCCGGCCUGGGAGGGGGGACGCACACAUUGGGACUGAGUACCGCCCAAGACGCCGAGGGGAGGCAGGGGGGGGGAAGAAGGAAGGAGGGGGGGAAGCGAGAGGCACCGACGCCGGGGGGGGGGGAACGGCUUUGGGGUGGUAACCUCCUUGGGACGGAGAGAAGGCCCCGGGGUGGGAGGGGGGGUGAGGGUAGUGGAAGAAAAAGCACGGGCUAACUACGUG